ACACAUGCAAGUCGAACGGAAUUUACAUGAAGCCUAGCGAUUGUAAAUUUAGUGGCGGACGGGUGAGUAACGCGUGGGUAACCUGCCUUGUACUGGGGGACAACAGUUGGAAACGACUGCUAAUACCGCAUAAGCGCACAGCUUCGCAUGAAGCAGUGUGAAAAACUCCGGUGGUACAAGAUGGACCCGCGUCUGAUUAGCUGGUUGGUGAGGUAACGGCCCACCAAGGCGACGAUCAGUAGCCGGCCUGAGAGGGUGAACGGCCACAUUGGGACUGAGACACGGCCCAAACUCCUACGGGAGGCAGCAGUGGGGAAUAUUGCACAAUGGGGGAAACCCUGAUGCAGCAACGCCGCGUGAGUGAAGAAGUAUUUCGGUAUGUAAAGCUCUAUCAGCAGGAAAGAAAAUGACGGUACCUGACUAAGAAGCCCCGGCUAACUACGUGCCAGCAGCCGCGGUAAUACGUAGGGGGCAAGCGUUAUCCGGAUUUACUGGGUGUAAAGGGAGCGUAGACGGUUUUGCAAGUCUGAAGUGAAAGCCCGGGGCUUAACCCCGGGACUGCUUUGGAAACUGUAGGACUAGAGUGCAGGAGAGGUAAGUGGAAUUCCUAGUGUAGCGGUGAAAUGCGUAGAUAUUAGGAGGAACACCAGUGGCGAAGGCGGCUUACUGGACUGUAACUGACGUUGAGGCUCGAAAGCGUGGGGAGCAAACAGGAUUAGAUACCCUGGUAGUCCACGCCGUAAACGAUGAUUACUAGGUGUUGGUGG
rnacentral:rRNA from 1 species